GUCAACCAUGUCUUAUGUGUGAGUUUUAUCAAAAGUAUCUAAUUCAUAUUGCAUUGCUCUAUACCAAUCAAGGUUAGAGAAGGACUAUGAAAAGUGCAAGGCUCAUGCAAAGUAGAAAGAGCAAAAUAACAAUGAUAAUCAUGAAGAUGAGAGAGUGCAGUUCUUACUCUAGUGGAACAAUUAAUAAGAGGAUAAGAAACGAAUGGCGGAGCCGCUGGCAAAGAGGCAUUGAGGACGUCUAUGGUGCAGGAUGUUAGAAUUGGUGAUGAUAGAGAACCUGCAGAAGAGGGAGAAGUAACAUCAGAGAUAAUAUCUAAUGAGGGGUUAGUAAAAAGAGGACGCCCAAAAUCAAACGAUGUAGGUGUUUUUGAGAUAUCCAAAAACUUAACAUCUUCUCAAAAUUUAACAUGUCGAGAAAUGCGAAUGUGUUUGGAGAUAGGACCAUAACAACGAUAUCUUUUAUAUUCAAUCCCAUACCCUAAGAAACAACAAGGUUCUAACUUAGUAUGUUCAUGAGGUUGGAGAAGAACAAAGCAUGCACACUCAAAUAUGCGAAGAGUGGUGUAAGUAUGGAGAGCGCUAUAUAGGUAUUCGUAAGGUGAUAUAUUGUUGGUGACCAAUGAUAGUGUGCGAUUUAUGGUGUAGACAGCAGUAAAAGUAGUUUCUCCCCAAAAUGAUUCAGUGACAAAGGCAAAAAGGAGAAGGGCAUGGACAGUGUCCAAGAUGUGCUGAAAUUUGUGCUCCGCACAACCAUUUUGUUGAGAAGUAUUGGGACACGAUGAAUGGGAGAGAGUAUCAUUUUAUUUAAGAAUGUUGAGAAAAAUAGUUUGUUUAUUUUCUUGAGUAUAUUGUCAGAAUAAAAAAAUUUAAUUUUGCGAGAAAAUUGAGUUUGAAUCAUUUUUUAAAACUCAUUAUAAAUACCAAGUAACUCAGAUCUACUACAUAUAAGAUAAAUUUAUGUAUAUCAAGAAUAAUCAUCAAUAAAAAUGAUAAAGUAUCGAGAACUACGCAUUGUAGAAAUGGGCAAGGGCUCCCACACAUCAGAGUGAAUAAGGUAAAAAGGGGUAGUAGCAACAGAAUCACUGUUGUGAAAAGGUAACAAAUGUUGUUUCCCAAUUUGACAAGCAAGAUAAUGAAAAUUUAUUUCAAGUUUAACAGAACCUAAGUAACCACGAGAUACUAAUUUUUAUAAUUUUGAUAAAGAAGUAUAGCCUAAGCGAGAAUGUUAGAAGCUAAGAGAGACAUGACAAUUGUAACUAAAGGCAACGGCAACAGAUUAAGGAGGAACAUAAAGAGAUUCUAACUCAAAUAAAUGACCCACUUUACGAUCAGUCUCAAUGAUUUUUUCCGUCUGCAUAAGACAACUAGAAUUGAAAAAUAUAAGUGUAAACCAAGUUCACAUAGUUGACCAAUAUAUAAUAAAUUUUGGGAAAGAGUAUGAACAAGAUAAGUAUGAUCGAUAGUAAGAUCAGGGAUAACAAUAGUGAUAGUGUGAGUGGUAGUCAUAAGAGAGUCAUUAGCAGUGAGACAAGAGGCACAUAAGAAGUGGGAUGUGUGAUAGAGAAUAAAGAGACAUCAGAAGUUAUAUAAUUGCAAUAGGCCGUAUUAAAAAAUCAAGGUAAAGUACCUAAAGUGGUUAAGAGAGCAGAUGAAUGAAUAUUAGUGCAUGAUAAAACCUGGGUGACUAUUGUCUCGACAUCAGCAGUAGUAAGGUUGGGUGAAGAAGAAGAAUCAGGAGAUGGCCCGAUUAAAUCAGUGACAGAAUAGUCUAGCGGUUAUAAGAACUUCUGCAUUUGGGUUUGGGUUUGUAGCGUGAGCAAUAGUCUUUAUAAGAGUGAGUGUUGUGUCUACAAAAGCUGCCAUAUUUCUUUUGAGACACAGAGGUAUGAGAUGGUAUAGUCUUAGAGCCAAAUAGAAUGGAUUAGAUAAGCUGGGAUGGUGGUGGUGGUGGUGGUAGUGGUGUUCAAGAAGGUGUGGCCAGAACAAUUUGAGACUAUUGAUGAUAAAUCAUAGUCUUCUUGCAAGUCUCCUCAAAUCAAAGUUUAGAAAGAGCUUGACCAAGUGUAGGAAGAGGAUGGCGAUGAAGAAGAGAAGCCUAUGUAUGUUCAUAAUCAAGAGGAAGAGCCAUAAGAAAGUGGCGAAGAUGAGAGCGGUCUUGGUAGAUAUAAAAGACAGAUGCAUCUGUGGAACAGGUCCAGGUAGGUUCAAGCUGGGCUAAGUGAUUCCACAAAUUUGAUAUUUUGCUUGUAGAAAUCAGUAAGAGUCUGACCUAGUUCAAAACAAAUGUGAUGAAGCUUAAGUCCCAACUGAUACUCAUCGGCUCCAUCAAUAGAUGAAUGCCGCUCGGCCAAAUAAUUCCAAACCUCCUUGGCAGUCUCAAAUGGGGUAAAGAGAGAGAAUGGAUGGAUGUGACUGAGGUAUUGAAAAAUCAGGUGAUAAUUUUAGAGUUGUUGCUAUCCCAAUCUUCAAGUUGGGAUCGAUAUUUGGCAUGAAUAUCAUC
rnacentral:lncRNA from 1 species